GCAGCUCCUCCUGCGCGGUGCCGUUACAGGUGAUCACAGUCGGUCACCGAGUCCCGGUCGCCAUCCAGCCAGGAGCCAAGCUCUCCGGGGAUCAGAUGGCGAGCUGGAACGUUUUCAUUAGUUGUCAUCGCAGCCAAGGAGAAUCAUCCCAGAAACGUGGGUUCGAAGUCUCCCGUGCCACCUGACCACUAGAUGGCAGGGCAGCACCAUUCUUGAGAGCACCAGGAAAACUAAUGAAAACUCAGGGAUAUGUGGCCACAGAUAAAUGAAAAAAACAAACAAACCACAAUUCAACUCUACACAGUUUCAGACACACCUAAACCAAAUGGGCGGAAACAUAUAAGAAGGUAAAGGACAGCCCUGGACAGUUUGGCUCAGCAGUUGGAGCGUCGGCCUGUGGACCAGAGAGUCCUGAGUUCAGUUCCUGCUAGGGGCACGUACCAAAAAAAAAAAAAAGAAGAAGAAGGUAAAGGACAGGCUGCAUAUGGACUUCAUCAUCCUUCCAGUCUCAACUCCAGCUUCGCUCUACCCCUUCAAGCCCAGAAUUUGUCCUGGACUUUGAUUUCAAAGAUAAAAUAUUUCAAAAUGGCAUCUUCAGAUUUGCAGGGGCAAACCUAGAAAUGCUGAACUCCCUUAUAUCCUCCCGCCUACUCAUAGGGAAGAGGCAGUCAUCCUCCCCUUAAAAACCAAUCUCUCCACUUUGUCCAGUACUUUGUCCACUAAAUUCUGCCCCCCCCCUUUUUUUUUUACUGUGUAAUUAACUACUUCUUCCUAAGGAUUUUAUUAUUUAUUUUAAACAUUUUUUUUCCUUUAUUGAUUUUAGAGAGAGAAGAAGGGAGAGGGAGAGAGAGAUAGAAACAUCGAU